AAGCACCCUUGCUCACAGCUUAGUGCCGGGGAUGUGGUACACAUUACAGAAAUUCAGAAGGUAGGUGUUAAUAUGCUCAUAAAUUAACUUCUUUUGCUCUUGAGAAUUGUUGAGAUUGAUACUCUAUGAAACUGGUCUAGUAAUGCGUGAUUACAAA